rnacentral:rRNA from 1 species
AUGAACGCUAGCUACAGGCUUAACACAUGCAAGUCGAGGGGCAGCAUGAACUUAGCUUGCUAAGUUUGAUGGCGACCGGCGCACGGGUGAGUAACACGUAUCCAACCUGCCGAUGACUCGGGGAUAGCCUUUCGAAAGAAAGAUUAAUACCCGAUGGCAUAGUUCUUCCGCAUGGUAGAACUAUUAAAGAAUUUCGGUCAUCGAUGGGGAUGCGUUCCAUUAGGUUGUUGGCGGGGUAACGGCCCACCAAGCCUUCGAUGGAUAGGGGUUCUGAGAGGAAGGUCCCCCACAUUGGAACUGAGACACGGUCCAAACUCCUACGGGAGGCAGCAGUGAGGAAUAUUGGUCAAUGGACGAGAGUCUGAACCAGCCAAGUAGCGUGAAGGAUGACUGCCCUAUGGGUUGUAAACUUCUUUUAUACGGGAAUAAAGUGAGGCACGUGUGCCUUUUUGUAUGUACCGUAUGAAUAAGGAUCGGCUAACUCCGUGCCAGCAGCCGCGGUAAUACGGAGGAUCCGAGCGUUAUCCGGAUUUAUUGGGUUUAAAGGGAGCGUAGGCGGACGCUUAAGUCAGUUGUGAAAGUUUGCGGCUCAACCGUAAAAUUGCAGUUGAUACUGGGUGUCUUGAGUACAGUAGAGGCAGGCGGAAUUCGUGGUGUAGCGGUGAAAUGCUUAGAUAUCACGAAGAACUCCGAUUGCGAAGGCAGCUUGCUGGACUGUAACUGACGCUGAUGCUCGAAAGUGUGGGUAUCAAACAGGAUUAGAUACCCUGGUAGUCCACACAGCAAACGAUGAAUACUCGCUGUUUGCGAUAUACAGUAAGCGGCCAAGCGAAAGCGUUAAGUAUUCCACCUGGGGAGUACGCCGGCAACGGUGAAACUCAAAGGAAUUGACGGGGGCCCGCACAAGCAGUGGAGUAUGUGGUUUAAUUCGAAGCAACGCGAAGAACCUUACCAGGCCUUGACAUCCCGGGCAAGGGCGUAGAGAUACGCCGGAGGCUAUCCCGGUGACAGGUGGUGCAUGGUUGUCGUCAGCUCGUGUCGUGAGAUGUUGGGUUAAGUCCCGCAACGAGCGCAACCCUUAUGGUCAGUUACUACGCAAGAGGACUCUGGCCAGACUGCCGUUGACAAAACGGAGGAAGGUGGGGAUGACGUCAAAUCAGCACGGCCCUUACGUCCGGGGCUACACACGUGUUACAAUGGGGGGUACAGAAGGCAGCUACACGGCGACGUGAUGCUAAUCCCGAAAGCCUCUCUCAGUUCGGAUUGGAGUCUGCAACCCGACUCCAUGAAGCUGGAUUCGCUAGUAAUCGCGCAUCAGCCACGGCGCGGUGAAUACGUUCCCGGGCCUUGUACACACCGCCCGUCAAGCCAUGAAAGCCGGGGGUACCUGAAGUGCGUAACCGCAAGGAGCGCCCUAGGGUAAAACUGGUGAUUGGGGCU